rnacentral:snoRNA from 1 species
GCCCAGUGUGUGCUCACUGAAGGAGACCAGGGUUCAAAUCCCUUCUUAACUACAAACUCACUGGGUGACCUUGGGCAAGUCAUUAAUCUUUCAGCCUCAGUUCCCCAUCUGUAAAAUGGGAAUAAUAAUGACCUUUCUCACAGGAUUGUUGUGAGGAGCUAUU